rnacentral:rRNA from 1 species
GGGCACCACCAGGGGGUGCAGCUGCGGCUUAUUUGACUCAACACGGGAAAUCUCACCACGCCCGGACACCGGAAGGAUUCACAGAUUAACAGCUCUUUCUUGAUUCGGUGGGUGGUGGUGCAUGGCCGUUCUUAGUUGGUGGAGCGAUUUGUCUGGUUAAUUCCGGUAACGAACGAGACUCUAGCCUGCUAAAUAGGCGUCGUCAUUUAGGUGUGCUCGACUUCGGUCGUGCAACUCACUGGCGACGUAUUAAAAUUCUUCUUAGAGGGACCGGCGGCUUCGAGCCGCACGAGAUUGAGCAAUAACAGGUCUGUGAUGCCCUUAGAUGUCCUGGGCCGCACGCGCGCUACACUGAAGGAAUCA